rnacentral:rRNA from 1 species
AUUGAACGCUGGCGGCAUGCCUUACACAUGCAAGUCGAACGGCAGCGGACCUUCGGGUGCCGGCGAGUGGCGAACGGGUGAGUAAUAUAUCGGAACGUACCUUUCAGUGGGGGAUAGCGUAGCGAAAGUUACGCUAAUACCGCAUAUUCUGUGAGCAGGAAAGCAGGGGAUCGCAAGACCUUGCGCUGAUUGAGCGGCCGAUAUCAGAUUAGCUAGUUGGUGAGGUAAAGGCUCACCAAGGCGACGAUCUGUAGCGGGUCUGAGAGGAUGAUCCGCCACACUGGAACUGAGACACGGUCCAGACUCCUACGGGAGGCAGCAGU